UACGUAGGGCGCAAGCGUUGCCCGGAAUUAUUGUGCGUAAAGAGCUCGUAGGCGGCUUGUCACGUCGGGUGUGAAAGCCCGGGGCUUAACCCCGGGUCUGCAUUCGAUACGGGCUAGCUAGAGUGUGGUAGGGGAGAUCGGAAUUCCUGGUGUAGCGGUGAAAUGCGCAGAUAUCAGGAGGAACACCGGUGGCGAAGGCGGAUCUCUGGGCCAUUACUGACGCUGAGGAGCGAAAGCGUGGGGAGCAAACAGG
rnacentral:rRNA from 1 species